AUUGAACGCUGGCGGCAUGCUUUACACAUGCAAGUCGAACGGCAGCGCGGGCUUCGGCCUGGCGGCGAGUGGCGAACGGGUGAGUAAUGCAUCGGAACGUGCCCAGUAGUGGGGGAUAGCCCGGCGAAAGCCGGAUUAAUACCGCAUACGACCUGAGGGUGAAAGCGGGGGACCGAAAGGCCUUGCGCUAUUGGAGCGGCCGAUGUCGGAUUAGCUAGUUGGUGGGGUAAAGGCUUACCAAGGCGACGAUCCGUAGCUGGUCUGAGAGGACGACCAGCCACACUGGGACUGAGACACGGCCCAGACUCCUGCGGGAGGCAGCAGUGGGGAAUUUUGGACAAUGGGGGCAACCCUGAUCCAGCCAUGCCGCGUGCGGGAAGAAGGCCUUCGGGUUGUAAACCGCUUUUGUUCGGGAAGAAAUCCUCUGGGCUAAUACCCCGGGGGGAUGACGGUACCGGAAGAAUAAGCACCGGCUAACUACGUG
rnacentral:rRNA from 1 species